rnacentral:rRNA from 1 species
UACGUAGGGCGCAAGCGUUAUCCGGAAUUAUUGGGCGUAAAGAGCUCGUAGGCGGUUUGUCGCGUCUGCCGUGAAAGUCCGGGGCUCAACUCCGGAUCUGCGGUGGGUACGGGCAGACUAGAGUGAUGUAGGGGAGACUGGAAUUCCUGGUGUAGCGGUGAAAUGCGCAGAUAUCAGAAGGAACACCGAUGGCGAAGGCAGGUCUCUGGGCAUUAACUGACGCUGAGACGCGAAAGCGUGGGGAGCGAACAGG